rnacentral:rRNA from 1 species
GACGAACGCUUGCGGCGUGCCUAAGAAAUGCAAGUCGAGCGGGGUUCUACGCUGUCUGAAGCUUCGGCAGAGGACUUGUAGAAUCUAGCGGCGAACGGUCGCGUAACACGUAAGCAACCUGCCCUAAAGACUGGGAUAACAACCCGAAAGGGUUGCUAAUACCGGAUGUGCAUACCGAAUCGCAUGGUUUGGUAUGUAAAGGAGUAAUCCGCUUUAGGAUGGGCUUGCGGCCUAUCAGCUAGUUGGUGGGGUAAAGGCCUACCAAGGCGACGACGGGUAGCUGGCCUGAGAGGGUGGCCAGCCGGAUUGGGACUGAGAUACGGCCCAGACUCCUACGGGAGGCUG